rnacentral:piRNA from 1 species
UGGUAAAAUGGUACCUUGCUUACGUCAUC